UACGUAGGGGGCGAGCGUUGUCCGGAUUUAUUGGGCGUAAAGAGCUCGUAGGCGGUUUGGUAAGUUGGAUGUGAAAUCUCCAGGCUCAACUUGGAGGGGUCAUUCGAUACUGCCAUGACUAGAGUUCGGUAGGGGAGUGUGGAAUUCCUGGUGGAGCGGUGAAAUGCGUAGAGAUCGGAAAGAACACCAACGGCGAAAGCACUCUGCUGGGCCGACACUGACACUGAGAGACGAAAGCUAGGGGAGCGAAUGGG
rnacentral:rRNA from 1 species